ACCCAACACUGGCACUGCCGUACACUCACCAACAACUACACACACGAUACAGUCCGAGGGGCGAAACGACGCCGGUUGACUGCUCAUGGUAUUGAAAAAGAGUGGAUACGCCGCUUAAAGCGAUCCAAAGUACAACGGAAGCACCUUUUGCCUGGGCCAAACCUUAUUCUUGCAAAUUACUACAGCAAACAUGGCGGGGAGGAGAAUAGGUUCACAAACCCCCCAUGUUACAACCUUUGGAACCAUAAAACUAGCGAUGCAGCACAACGGUUAGUAAAAAUAGCAACCCACGAGGUUAUCAACGUGCCCACAACACGUACGAUUUCUGUGAACCCCUUUCGGAAGGGAAACACGAAGAUUAGGUACCGAGCCAAAACGGUCGUGGUAGAUUUUUUUCCGGACGUACUAAGCACCGCGUAGGAAUUCAGCUUACGCUUUGCGGUAACACGUCCACGGAUUCUCCUGCACGAUGGACCAACUAGGACGGUCAUCAG
rnacentral:misc_RNA from 1 species